CCCCCCCCGCCCCUGACCUGGGGUCGCGACGAAAGGAGGGCUCUGCUGCCGCACGCCCUAUCCGGAGGACCCUCUGACGGGACGGCACCGCACGUCUUGGCCUCAGCGAAUGUUCACUCAACCACCGUGGAUCGGGCGCCGUCACGCUGGGACCCUUUUUCGCCACCGGAGGCCAGGCUCCCGG
rnacentral:rRNA from 1 species